rnacentral:rRNA from 1 species
UACGGGGGGGGGCAAGCGUUUGUUCGGAAUUACUGGGCGUAAAGGGUUUGUAGGUGGCUUGUUAAGUCAGACGUGAAAUCCCUCAGCUUAACUGGGGAACUGCGUCUGAUACUGGCGAGCUUGAGUGCAGGAGAGGAACGCGGAAUUCCAGGUGUAGCGGUGAAAUGCGUAGAUAUCAGGAGGAACACCAAUUGCGAAGGCAGCUCGCUGGGACGUUACUGACGCUGAGACGCGAAAGCGUGGGGAGCAAACAGG